rnacentral:rRNA from 1 species
GCGGUAAUACGUAGGUGGCAAGCGUUGUCCGGAAUUAUUGGGCGUAAAGGGCUCGCAGGCGGUUUCUUAAGUCUGAUGUGAAAGCCCCCGGCUCAACCGGGGAGGGUCAUUGGAAACUGGGAAACUUGAGUGCAGAAGAGGAGAGUGGAAUUCCACGUGUAGCGGUGAAAUGCGUAGAGAUGUGGAGGAACACCAGUGGCGAAGGCGACUCUCUGGUCUGUAACUGACGCUGAGGAGCGAAAGCGUGGGGAGCGAACAGGAUUAGAUACCCUGGUAGUCCACGCCGUAAACGAUGAGUGCUAAGUGUUAGGGGGUUUCCGCCCCUUAGUGCUGCAGCUAACGCAUUAAGCACUCCGCCUGGGGAGUACGGUCGCAAGACUGAAACUCAAAGGAAUUGACGGGGGCCCGCACAAGCGGUGGAGCAUGUGGUUUAAUUCGAAGCAACGCGAAGAACCUUACCAGGUCUUGACAUCCUCUGACAACCCUAGAGAUAGGGCUUUCCCUUCGGGGACAGAGUGACAGGUGGUGCAUGGUUGUCGUCAGCUCGUGUCGUGAGAUGUUGGGUUAAGUCCCGCAACGAGCGCAACCCUUGAUCUUAGUUGCCAGCAUUCAGUUGGGCACUCUAAGGUGACUGCCGGUGACAAACCGGAGGAAGGUGGGGAUGACGUCAAAUCAUCAUGCCCCUUAUGACCUGGGCUACACACGUGCUACAAUGGACAGAACAAAGGGCUGCGAGACCGCAAGGUUUAGCCAAUCCCACAAAUCUGUUCUCAGUUCGGAUCGCAGUCUGCAACUCGACUGCGUGAAGCUGGAAUCGCUAGUAAUCG